GUACGACGGAGCACGUGAAAUUCCGUCGGAAUCUGGGAGGACCAUCUCCUAAGGCUAAAUACUCUCUAGUGACCGAUAGUGAACCAGUACCGUGAGGGAAAGGUGAAAAGCACCCCGGAAGGGGAGUGAAAUAGAACCUGAAACCGUGUGCUUACAAGUAGUCAGAGCCCGUUAAUGGGUGAUGGCGUGCCUUUUGUAGAAUGAACCGGCGAGUUACGAUUUGAUGCAAGGUUAAGCAGUAAAUGUGGAGCCGUAGCGAAAGCGAGUCUGAAUAGGGCGUUUAGUAUUUGGUCGUAGACCCGAAACCAGGUGAUCUACCCUUGGUCAGGUUGAAGUUCAGGUAACACUGAAUGGAGGACCGAACCGACUUACGUUGAAAAGUGAGCGGAUGAACUGAGGGUAGCGGAGAAAUUCCAAUCGAACCUGGAGAUAGCUGGUUCUCUCCGAAAUAGCUUUAGGGCUAGCCUCAAGUGAUGAUUAUUGGAGGUAGAGCACUGUUUGGACGAGGGGCCCCUCUCGGGUUACCGAAUUCAGACAAACUCCGAAUGCCAAUUAAUUUAACUUGGGAGUCAGAACAUGGGUGAUAAGGUCCGUGUUCGAAAGGGAAACAGCCCAGACCACCAGCUAAGGUCCCAAAAUAUAUGUUAAGUGGAAAAGGAUGUGGCGUUGCCCAGACAACUAGGAUGUUGGCUUAGAAGCAGCCAUCAUUUAAAGAGUGCGUAAUAGCUCACUAGUCGAGUGACACUGCGCCGAAAAUGUACCGGGGCUAAACAUAUUACCGAAGCUGUGGAUUGUCCUUUGGACAAUGGUAGGAGAGCGUU
rnacentral:rRNA from 1 species